UGUGCCUUGUGGUCAAAUGUUCUAACUACUUUGGUGACUGUUCAUGCACCACAGAUGCUUGAUAAUGGGCUGUGUACCCAC
rnacentral:pre_miRNA from 12 species